rnacentral:lncRNA from 1 species
UUUGCAUAAAUUCAAAAGUGUUGAUGUCUUUGUCAACGUCAAAUCUACCUUUAAAAUUAUUUUCACAAACGUUUUCUUAAACCAUUUUUGGCUUGAUUAAGGAAUUUACAUCUGGGUAUGUAUGCAUGUCACUAUCCAGUUUUAUUUCAAGAUUUCUUGCCAAUAGAGAAAGAGCCAGUUUGUAACCUUGAUCCAAAGCUUCUUCAGUCGCAUUUCAACAUCAACAGGCGGCUCCGAGAAAACUGAAAAAUUUCUAGGUUUUUACUGAAUGAAAAGCUUUGUUACUGGAUUACAUUACAAACAAACUCCGGAGCUUCGGAAGUCCAUCCACAAACCUGGGACCGACGGAAGGAACCACCGUUUGGUAUUGAUACCAAG